AGGAAGAGGAAGAAGAGGAGGAAGCAAAGCAUUUCACACCAAUCAGCAACGUCCUUGAUGAUGUCACGGGCGUUACGUAAAGAGCGAGGCGGCGGCGGCAACAGUAGGCCCCCGCGCGAGGCAGGUGCGCGGGGGCUGUCAGCGCAUCUCCAGCCCGGGGAUGUGAUAGUGUCUGGCCGGCGUGAUGGAUGUGCGGGAGUCGUGUGCAUAUUUGAGUGAUUUUUACCCUUUUCCGGCCACCCUUAUCGCCUCAUCCGACCCGGGCCACCCUUCUGAACCCUUGGCGGCGCGUGUGAGGGUGUCCCAGUAUUCAUAGCGGCCAGGAUGCGGGUGAUAAGAGGCGGUAAAUAUGAGGAAGUGACACCGGGGAAGAGGAGGGAGUGAAUGGACGGACAGGUCGAGCGGGUUGGCUGGUGAUGGAGGCGGCGGAGGAAGGCGUGAAGAAAUGCCGCCGGGCGAGGGGCAGCAACACGACACAGGCUGACCAGCGGCGCGGUAAUGACCUCCCUCGCAUCUUAACGUCGACUGAGGUGCCGCCGGAGAGAGUAAGUACACAUUCAUUGCCUUCUCACCCUCGUACAUCUAGUCAUAACUCUCGUACUUGACAAUGGAAGGUGUGCUAUUUUCUCACCCUCGUACAUCUAGUCAUAACUCUCGUACUUGACAAUGUGAGGUGUAAUCUAAGCCAUUACGACUCCUUCAAAACAGCUCUUCGUGCCCCUCUUCGAAGUAUUUGUUUUCCCUUUUGCAAUCGCUGUGUGUUACCUAACGCUAUAGAUUUUGUAAGCGUGUUGUUUUUCCCUCUUUUCGUGAGGUUCUUGGAGUGGAAAGGAAAACGUAACGUGUGUGUGUGUGUGUGUGUGUGU